GGAGAGAUGCCGGAGUGGUUGAUCGGGGCGGUUUCGAAAACCGCUGUAGGGCUUUGCUCUACCGGGAGUUCGAAUCUCCCUCUCUCCGCCA
rnacentral:tRNA from 1 species